GAAAUGCGAUAAGUAAUGUGAAUUGCAGAAUUCAGUGAAUCAUCGAAUCUUUGAACGCACAUUGCGCCCGCCAGUAUUCUGGCGGGCAUGCCUGUUCGAGCGUUAUUACAACCCUCAGGCCCCCGGGCCUGGCGUUGGGGAUCGGCGGAAGCCCCCUGCGGGCACAACGCCGUCCCCCAAAUACAGUGGCGGUCCCGCCGCAGCUUCCAUUGCGUAGUAGCUAACACCUCGCAACUGGAGAGCGGCGCGGCCACGCCGUAAAACACCCAACUUCUGAAUGUUGACCUCGAAUCAGGUAGGAAUACCCGCUGAACUUAAGC
rnacentral:misc_RNA from 1 species